AGAUGGGUGAGAGGCUGAGGUGCCACAACCAUCCUUGGAGGGACAAAGACACACAUUUAGGAGCGGUUGGAGAAGGCGCUGUGCGUGCCACCUUUGGAACCGGAUCGGCGUUG